rnacentral:lncRNA from 1 species
AUAUAUGAGGAUUUAGAGCUUUGGGAACCAUUUUCAUGCUUUCUUUCACCUUCAACUGGCCACUUCAAUGGGCAUAGGGCCCCCUAGGAGCCUCAGACCUUAUGAUUGCUCAAGCUACAAAACAAAUAAAGUUAGUGACAUAUUUUUGUGCUUUUAGUUAGUAAAAAAAAUAAGAAUAGCAAUAAUAUACAAUUCAAGCAUGCUUGGUGAUCUCAAAC